rnacentral:rRNA from 1 species
GACGAACGCUGGCGGCGUGCUUAACACAUGCAAGUCGAGCGGUAAGGCCCUUUCGGGGGUACACGAGCGGCGAACGGGUGAGUAACACGUGGGUGACCUGCCCUCAGCUCUGGGAUAAGCCUGGGAAACCGGGUCUAAUACCGGGUAUGACUCCAUGACGCAUGUUGUGGGGUGGAAAGCCUUGUGCGGCUGAGGAUGGGCCCGCGGCCUAUCAGCUUGUUGGUGGGGUGAUGGCCACCAAGGCGACGACGGGUA